AAGAGUAUUCGAGUGAAACCGAUUUGUUUUGAGUAGUAAGGUUUGUUAAAUUUAUUUAGGAAAAAUAUUUUUUUAGCUUAGUAAGAGAAGGAAAUUUUUAAGUAGACUAUAGAGAAUGAGUACUGUGAGGGAAAAUUUGAAAGAGAAUUAAGAAAAGUAAAAUUAAAGUAGAAAUGAGAUUUUGUACCUUGUGUAUUAGGGGUGUUUAAUUUAAAUUAGUUAAUGUUGAUUGUCCCGAAAAAAGGAUAGCUAAAUUGGAGAAGACUGUUUUUGUAAUAAAAAGAUUAGGAACUUUAGUUUAGGAGUGAAAUGUUAGGCGAGCUUUUUGAUAUCUGGUUCUUUUAUAAAUAAAUUUAAUUUAGCUUUUACAUGAUAUUAAUGUUAAAAGGAGGGAGCAGAAGGGGAGAGCUUUUUGUUUAAAUUUUAGGAGUUUAAAGAAGAUUUUUAAAAGAAAUAAGAUUGGACUAGGCUUAGAAGUAGCUUUGUUUGGAGGGUGUUAUAGCUAAGAUUGGGAACUAUUAAGUAUAAUUCUUUUUAGAUACAUAUGAGAGAGUAUUUUGAAUUAAAUUUGGAGUAUUUAAAAUUGGUAUAUUAGUAAAUGUUAUAUUAUAUAAAAUGAAUUACGAGAUAAUUUAGUAAGGUUUAGUUGUAUUCAUGUUUUGUAGAGGAAUUCGGCAAAUUUUAUUUCCGCCUGUUUAUCAAAAACAUCUCUGUGUGAGAGAUUUAUAGAGUCUAGCCUGCCCGUUGAAGAUUUGAAAGGCCGCGGUAUUUUGACCGUGCGAAGGUAGCAUAAUCAUUAGUCUUUUAAUUGAAGGCUUGUAUGAAGGGUUGGACGAGAAAUAAGCUGUCUUUAUUGAAAAAAUAGAAUUUAACUUUUAAGUGAGAGGGCUUAAAUGUUCUAAAGGGACGAUAAGACCCUAUAAAGUUUGACAUUUUAUUCAUUAAAAAAUAAAAUAAUUAAAUUAGUUUUUAUUAGUGGGGUGAUGUUUUGUUGGGGCGAUUAGAAUAUAAAAAAUUUAACUGUUUUAUAUUAAUACAAAGUUGUUUGAGUGUUUUGAUCCUUGGUAAAGGUAUUAGAGUAAAUUACUUUAGGGAUAACAGCGUAAUUUUUUUUGAGAGUUCUUAUCGACAAAAAAGUUUGCGACCUCGAUGUUGAAUUAAAGAAUUCUUUAUAGCGCAGAAGUUAUAAAAGAAGGUCUGUUCGACCUUUAAAUCUUUACAUGAUUUGAGUUCAGACCGGCGUGAGCCAGGUUGGUUUCUAUCUUUUAGAUCUUAAAUAAAUUAUUUUAGUACGAAAGGAUUGAAUAGUUAAAAUAUUUUUAAUUUGAUAGUGUGAGAUAGCUCAGAGAAAGUGUAUAGUUUAAAAGUUAAUAAUUUUGG
rnacentral:rRNA from 1 species